UACGGAGGGCGCAAGCGUUAUCCGGAUUCACUGGGUUUAAAGGGUGCGUAGGCGGGUUGGUAAGUCCGUGGUGAAAUCCCCAAGCUUAACUUGGGAACUGCCGUGGAUACUAUCAAUCUUGAAUAUCGUGGAGGUAAGCGGAAUAUGUCAUGUAGCGGUGAAAUGCUUAGAUAUGACAUAGAACACCAAUUGCGUAGGCAGCUUACUACACGAUCAUUGACGCUGAGGCACGAAAGCGUGGGGAGCAAACAGG
rnacentral:rRNA from 1 species